CGGAACCUAACGCCUGAUUGGUUACCCUCUGCAUCAAGCCAAAACAAAUCAAUUCCGGAUAAUGGAUUGAUGCAGAGCUACUGAACACAUUCCAAUACACUGGGUGGCGCUAUUCACCUCUACGUUGGUUUAGUUACACGGUUAAACAGUACUUUCAUUGCAACGGCUAAAAAAUCAAGAGAAGACUCGGUCCUGCUAGCCCCAAUGUUGAGACGCUGUGUGAGGUGCAGGACAAAAUGUCUAAAAGUUGCCCGGAGCUGCUGAGAGAAGCAGCGAAUUUGAUUGAGGAAGCUCUGAGCAGAAGUCCAACGGCUCCCGCGGCACCGGUGACUCCGACAGCUCAGUCACAGCAGAUACCGGCCGCUCAAUCACGUACACCUGUCCAAGCGGAGGUAGCAAGGCUCUUUGCGCCAUAUAACAUUGGAGCCAGAAGGAAUAUGACGAGACGACCAGCACAAGUCCAAGUUAGCCGAAGAAGCUACACACACUGUCUGUUGUUUGGCUGACCACAAUGCGGAUAAAAUUCCAAGCGUACUGUUUAAAGCUGAACUUCUUACUUCAGGACUUGGAGA